rnacentral:rRNA from 1 species
GUGCCAGACUCCUACGGGAGGCAGCAGUGGGGAAUAUUGCACAAUGGGGGAAACCCUGAUGCAGCGACGCCGCGUGAGUGAAGAAGUCUUUCGGUAUGUAAAGCUCUAUCAGCAGGGAAGAAAAUGACGGUACCUGACUAAGAAGCCCCGGCUAACUACGUGCCAGCAGCCGCGGGAAUACGUAGGGGGCAAGCGUUAUCCGGAUUUACUGGGUGUAAAGGGAGCGUAGACGGCAUGGCAAGUCAGAUGUGAAAGCCCGGGGCUCAACCCCGGGACUGCAUUUGAAACUGUCAGGCUGGAGUGCAGGAGAGGUAAGUGGAAUUCCUAGUGUAGCGGUGAAAUGCGUAGAUAUUAGGAGGAACACCAGUGGCGAGGGCGGCUUACUGGACUGUAACUGACGUUGAGGCUCGAAAGCGUGGGGAGCAAACAGGAUUAGAUACCCCUGUAAC